rnacentral:rRNA from 2 species
AAUCGAACGAACUCUGGUAUUGAUUGGUGCUUGCAUCAUGAUUUACAUUUGAGUGAGUGGCGAACUGGUGAGUAACACGUGGGAAACCUGCCCAGAAGCGGGGGAUAACACCUGGAAACAGAUGCUAAUACCGCAUAACAACUUGGACCGCAUGGUCCGAGUUUGAAAGAUGGCUUCGGCUAUCACUUUUGGAUGGUCCCGCGGCGUAUUAGCUAGAUGGUGGGGUAACGGCUCACCAUGGCAAUGAUACGUAGCCGACCUGAGAGGGUAAUCGGCCACAUUGGGACUGAGACACGGCCCAAACUCCUACGGGAGGCAGCAGUAGGGAAUCUUCCACAAUGGACGAAAGUCUGAUGGAGCAACGCCGCGUGAGUGAAGAAGGGUUUCGGCUCGUAAAACUCUGUUGUUAAAGAAGAACAUAUCUGAGAGUAACUGUUCAGGUAUUGACGGUAUUUAACCAGAAAGCCACGGCUAACUACGUGCCAGCAGCCGCGGUAAUACGUAGGUGGCAAGCGUUGUCCGGAUUUAUUGGGCGUAAAGCGAGCGCAGGCGGUUUUUUAAGUCUGAUGUGAAAGCCUUCGGCUCAACCGAAGAAGUGCAUCGGAAACUGGGAAACUUGAGUGCAGAAGAGGACAGUGGAACUC